rnacentral:rRNA from 1 species
AUAGCGUCAUGCUGGCUGGCUCCUCAUUAAACUUGUCCGGGGAUCAUCAAGUGGUGCCCGUGCCCAGGAUAAGAGAGAGAGGGGCAGGGUUACCCCCCCCCCAGCAGCACGAUUUGGUUGUUCCGGUCUAUCCAACGUGUUUGCGCGCGCUGGAAGUUGUCCUUGUAAUUCAAUGAGUAAGAAAUGCAUGUCUUUUUGGGGACACAUGUCUCCAUGGAGCUUGGGUGAGCAGGCACAUUGUGGUAGAACGAGUCCGUCAUGUCCACCAGCAUUAAGGGGAAGUUCAGGUCUGGCAGACGUUUGGGUGUGUAGAUACCAGCGGAGUCUCCACCCCCACUCACCAGGUGCAGAGCUGCUCAUUCCGCCCAUGGGCGGACUCUUACUCCUACGGGAGGCAGCAGUGGGGAAUAUUGGGCAAGGGGGGAAAGCGUGAUCCAGCCAUGCCGCGUGUGUGAAGAAGGUCUUCGGAUUGUAAAGCACUUUAAGUUGGGAGGAAGUGCAUUACUUUAAUAGGUGGGUGUUAGGACGUACCGACAGAAUAGCCCCGAUC